rnacentral:rRNA from 1 species
UGAACGCUGGCGGCGUGCCUAAUACAUGCAAGUCGAGCGAACAGAUAAGGAGCUUGCUCCUUUGACGUUAGCGGCGGACGGGUGAGUAACACGUGGGUAACCUACCUAUAAGACUGGGAUAACUUCGGGAAACCGGAGCUAAUACCGGAUAACAUUUGGAACCGCAUGGUUCUAAAGUGAAAGAUGGUUUUGCUAUCACUUAUAGAUGGACCCGCGCCGUAUUAGCUAGUUGGUAAGGUAACGGCUUACCAAGGCAACGAUACGUAGCCGACCUGAGAGGGUGAUCGGCCACACUGGAACUUGGACACGGUCAAGACUCCUACGGGAGGCAGCAGUAGGGAAUCUUCCGCAAUGGGCGAAAGCCUGACGGAGCAACGCCGCGUGAGUGAUGAAGAGUUUCGGCUCGUAAAACUCUGUUAUUAGGGAAGAACAAAUGUGUAAGUAACUGUGCACGUCUUGACGGUACCUAAUCAGAAAGCCACGGCUAACUACGUG